rnacentral:rRNA from 1 species
UACGUAGGGGGCAAGCGUUGUCCGGAAUUAUUGGGCGUAAAGAGCGUGUAGGCGGCCAGAUAAGUCCGCUGUGAAAUCUCGAGGCUCAACUUCGAGCUGUCGGUGGAAACUAUCUGGCUAGAGUCCGGAAGAGGAGAAUGGAAUUCCUGGUGUAGCGGUGAAAUGCGCAGAUAUCAGGAAGAACACCCGUGGCGAAGGCGGUUCUCUGGGACGUUACUGACGCUGAGACGCGAAAGCGUGGGGAGCAAACAGG